GGGGCAGCAUGAAAGGAACUUCGGUUCUUUUUGAUGGCGACCGGCGCACGGGUGCGUAACGCGUAUCGAACCUGCCUCAUACUCGGGGAUAGCCUUGCGAAAGUAAGAUUAAUACCCGGCGGUCUCGGAUGGCCGCAUGACUAUCCGAGUGAAGAUUUAUCGGUAUGAGAUGGCGAUGCGUCCCAUUAGCUAGUUGGUGAGGUAAUGGCUCACCAAGGCAUCGAUGGGUAGGGGUUCUGAGAGGAAGGUCCCCCACAUUGGAACUGAGACACGGUCCAAACUCCUACGGGAGGCAGCAGUGAGGAAUAUUGGUCAAUGGACGAAAGUCUGGACCAGCCAAGUAGCGUGCAGGAAGACGGCCCUCUGGGUUGUAAACUGCUUUUAGUUGGGAAUAAAAAGAGGGACGUGUCCCUUAUUGUAUGUACCAUCAGAAAAAGGACCGGCUAAUUCCGUGCCAGCAGCCGCGGUAAUACGGAAGGUCCAGGCGUUAUCCGGAUUUAUUGGGUUUAAAGGGAGCGCAGGCGGCGGCGUAAGUCAGUUGUGUAAUCGUGCGGCUUAACCGUGCAAUUGCAGUUGAUACUGCGUCGCUUGAGUGCACACAGGGAUGUUGGAAUUCAUGGUGUAGCGGUGAAAUGCUUAGAUAUCAUGAAGAACUCCGAUCGCGAAGGCAUAUGUCCGGAGUGCAACUGACGCUGAGGCUCGAAAGUGUGGGUAUCAAACCAGG
rnacentral:rRNA from 1 species